rnacentral:rRNA from 1 species
UGGGGAAUAUUGCACAAUGGGCGAAAGCCUGAUGCAGCAACGCCGCGUGAGUGAUGAAGGCCUUCGGGUUGUAAAGCUCUGUCUUUUGGGACGAUAAUGACGGUACCAAAGGAGGAAGCCACGGCUAACUACGUGCCAGCAGCCGCGGUAAUACGUAGGUGGCAAGCGUUGUCCGGAUUUACUGGGCGUAAAGGAUGCGUAGGCGGAUUUUUAAGUGAGAUGUGAAAACCCUAAGCUUAACUUGGGGACUGCAUUUCAUACUGGAAAUCUAGAGUGCGGGAGAGGAGAAUGGAAUUCCUAGUGUAGCGGUGAAAUGCGUAGAGAUUAGGAAGAACACCAGUGGCGAAGGCGAUUCUCUGGACCGUAACUGACGCUGAGGCAUGAAAGCGUGGGUAGCAAAACAGGAUUAGAUACCCUGGUAGUCCACGCCGUAAACGAUGAGUACUAGGUGUAGGAGGUAUCGACCCCUUCUGUGCCGCAGUUAACACAAUAAGUACUCCGCCUGGGAAGUACGAUCGCAAGAUUAAAAACUU